GAAGUGUAAAAAGCUUCAGGUAAUAAGGGCCGGGUAAGACUGGUGCCAGCCGCCGCGGUAACACCAGCGGCCCAAGUGGUGGCCGAUUUUAUUGGGCCUAAAGCGUCCGUAGCCGGACUGACGGGUCCUUUGUGAAAUCGGACGGCUUAACCGUUCGACUUGCAAGGGAAACUGUCGGUCUUGGGGUCGGUAGGCGCCGAGGGUACUCCGGGGGUAGCGGUGAAAUGCUAUAAUCCCUGGGGGACCGCCGGUGGCGAAAGCGCUCGGCGAGGCCGAACCUGACGGUGAGGGACGAAGGCCAGGGGAGCAACCNGAUUAGAUACCCGGGUAGUCCUGGCUGUAAAGGAUGUGGGCUAGGUGCCGGAUGUUCCUCGAGAGCAUUCGGUGCCGAAGGGAAGCCGUUAAGCCCACCGCCUGGGAAGUACGGCCGCAAGGCUGAAACUUAAAGGAAUUGGCGGG
rnacentral:rRNA from 1 species